ensembl:ncRNA F54E4.15 ncRNA
GUAAUACUCAAUUUUCAAAUGAGGCACAUUCAAUAACCAGCGUUGCUUCACUGAUUCGAUUAUGUCGCCAGCGGUCAGCAAUCACGGUCCCAGUGGGGCGAUGGGGAGGGCAUACUGCUAAAGCUUAUUAUGCAAAUCAGGUCUAG